GCAAAGGAUGAAGCUGUGAUG
rnacentral:miRNA from 1 species